UCCAACUUUUAAGAUCGGUCAUUGUAAUAGCCAAUCUUAAAAAUUGAAUUUUUAAGAUCGACUAUUACCAUAACUGAUCUUAAAAGUUGUG
rnacentral:miRNA from 1 species